rnacentral:piRNA from 1 species
UCUAAAGUGACAACUUACUCGGGGGC